UUCUCAAUUUCUCCAUUUAUAAAGAGAAGGCUAACUAGAAUCUACCAAGCAAGUUAGCUAUAAUGAAAUGUGGAUGUUUGCGAGCACCUAGGAAAGAAGGAGCAGAAGUAGUCAGGUGUAUCUGCAGCUGCAAAUGUGUAGUGAGCUCAGCUCUGUUGUUGGCUGGUGUAAGGGCAGGAGGGAACAAACUCUCAGAGUCCUGAGAUAGGAGAAACAAACAAAAAAUGUCCUAGUCAAAUCCCUAUAAGAAAAAGUAAGGCACAAUUUAAAAAGAUGAAAGGGAAAUAAAUAUAUGUAAAGCAGCCAGGAGAAUAAAAAUAAGCCUUGGCAGAGGAUUAAAUGAAAAUUGUACACAGUCUAGUGUUUAAAAUGAAAGGAUUUAUCAAGACUUAACUUUAGCACAGACUAGCAGCAGGUAGAGUUUGAAAAUAAGAAGUUUGUGUGAUGUGAAGAAAUGCUGUAUGUGCAGGAAGAAGCUGAUGUCCAAAGAGUGUGUCAGCUUUUACUAUAGGAUAAAAUAAGUAUCAAAGAACAAGAAACAAAAAGGUAACUAUUUCAUACCAGCUUUGAGAAACACAAGGUAUCUUCAGACAAUUUCUUCAUAGGCAGAGAUAAGAUAUCAACCCUUUCUCUUAAAGCCCUUUCCUUUUUGGCAUCUUGAUUCCAGUGAAAAUGCCAGAGCACAAAUGGCUUGUUGCUGCUUUGUUAUAGACACCUGCACAGCCUUUUGGUAUGUGAACUUUUACCCUGGCAUGAGAUAAAUAAAAAUACGCUAUUCCACCUCCAUACAUCUCCCCCUUCCUAUUUCCCCCCCAGGUGCUCUGUGUCCCCACCCUGCUCCAGCGGAGACCCUCUCUGCCCAGUAACUUUGUUUUGCAAGAGGUUGCUCAACCCCUUCCAGGAAUAAUAGACUAGGAUGGUCCAACUCUCACUGACCCUUGGAGUCUAUCAGCUCUGGGUAUCUCAGCACUACUGAAAGUUUUAACAGAACAGAGCGCUCUGGCCCGGCCAAGGAGAGCAUCUGGAGAAGCGGUGUAGAAACUUCUCGGCAGCUGCACUGAACGCAGCAAGGUGGAAAGUCAGCGGUCACAGAUGGAAUUGUACAUGCUGCUGUUUGUCACAGGUCCUAGUGGACUCAAACUGUGGACUAAUGUAUGGAUAAACUGUUUGUGGAGCGGAACUUAUGCCCCCCAAGUGCAUAAAGUAUCCCGUACUAAGGUAGAAAUGAACUGUUUCUUUGCCAAGGAGAUGAGAACAAUUUAGCUCCUUGAGCUAAUUUAGAAACCAAAAGUUAAAACCUCCCUUGGGAAGAGACUGUUUAGGAAUAAAGGCAUCGGCUAAUUAGGCUUAAUUGCAUUGUCUUGGGACAAGUGAUUUAUUAGGCCAAUCUAGACCCAUGAUGAGCCUGCAGGGGUGUGUUCUCGGAUUCACCGACUGAAUGGCAAAUAUCCAAGAGCAUUUUUUAACUCUGGGAGGAAAAAAGAGAGAGGUUAAUGCACACUCACAUCAUCUAUUCCCAUUCUCAUUUCUUCAGCUCUGUGCAUCCUUUUAUGUGGCUCCCAUGAUUGUCUCCUUGUUCUGUGUCGAGCAUUUUCUCUCUAUCUUCCUUCAAAUCCUCCCUUGUAAUUAAGCUAUAUCUUCAAGCAAUCUUGGCUCUUUUCUCCUUAUAAAUAAUCUUCUCAUUCUUUCUGCCCUGAAGGUCUUCUGCUAUGUUUUGUCAUCUUUGCCCUGGUUAGAUUUUAAGGUGUUUAAGAGAGAAGCUGCAUGGCUCCUUGUAAACUCAAAGGACUAUGUACAAGUAAAUGUGCUGUAUAUCAAGUCUGCAUCACCUAUAGAGUAGUUGGAGUGAGUGUGAAAGUAAUGUGCCGUUUCCAUUCCCUGUGUGUACUCCCAUGCUACCUAGACAGUUACUCAUAGUUUUGAAAACUCAAACCUUAAAAUGGAGCAUGUGGAAAAUCAGAGACAUGGUUCUUGUCAAAUUUCUCAAAUAUAUAAGUAGUGUUUUUAAAAAGCAUGGUGUGGACUGAUUCCUGCUUUUCAUGCCCGUCAAAAUGCUGGGAUAAGUGGAGAUAAAUAAGUAAACAAAAGCGCUUAGCUUUUAUAAGUCAUAUCUUCUCCAAAAUAGUAUUUAUAGCAUAGGCGUUUGGCUGCAAAUAUCUGCAGAUACCUUGGUGCAGAUUUGGAGACAUAACGUAUAUUCAAAUCUUUGCCUGACAACUUGCUCUUUCUUUUGUCCAAAACUCCACCAACAAUAUGCAGAAAUGUCUUUUAAAUCAUGACCCUGUCACAGCCUUUUUUUAAAAUAAUUUUUUUUUAAGGCUGAAGCUGGUCAAAUUCUUGCAACAGGUCUUUAAUGAUAUUAAUUCUUCAGUAAUUGCUCACUAAACUAGUGAGCUUAGGUCUGAGCAGAUUCAAAUUUCUUAUGCAUCUGUCUUUCUGGACCAUGCUGACGGGACAUACACUACUUUGUCUGCUCUGCCAUGGCCCUUUCCAAUCCCAGCCUUGGAAAUGAGAGGGAGGUAGCGGUGUUCCUCACGGAUGCAGUUUCCCAUCUGCAGCCUCUAGCUUUUCUCAUCAGACGGUGCAAGACACAACUGCUUUAAUACAUGAAAGGAACCCAACAGGCUUAGCCUGAUGGAAAGGUGAAUGUAGCCUGGGGGCAACUCUUGCAUCCCCGUUAACUAGCAGGGAAGAGAUCCUGGGGCUCUCCUCCGAGUCUGUAUGGUCGCUGUGAUUUUUCUUCCCCCACUUCAAAGGACGUGUGUUGUUAGCUGUCUGCUCUUUGUGCCUCAGUUCUCCACUUUGAGACAGGGAGUUUUGAAAGCACUUUGCUCUGUCUCGAUUUUUCCCUAUAAGAGAAGGCUGAAUGAACUUCCAGAGAUUUAACAUUCAAGCUAGUGUCACACACCUUUAACAAAACUGAAACAAAACCCUCUUUGCCUGCCUUUUUAAUUAGUCACAAACAGAGACGUUAUCUCCCCGCUUAUGCUUAUCUCAGUCUGUACGUUUCUGUAUCCACCUCACAGAACCUUCCUCUCUUAGGGACAAAAAAGUUUGUUUUCCACAAAAAAUGUCAAGUAAAUCUUCUGGCGUUUCCACUAAGAGCUCGCCUACCUCUGUGCAGAAAUGUGCUGGAACUAAUGCAAUUUUGCAUUUGGGAUUUCCUACUAGAUGUUGACUCACUUUCAGUAUUUGAUCAUAUUUCCCUUUGUCUACUUCAGAUUCCUGCUUUUGGUACUUUCUAUGAAGCUUUUCUCCUAAGAUUCUCAAUUAAAGCUGUGCUCUACACGUGUCCUUUAAAUGUGAGAUUUGCUCAUGCUUUUGUAUUAGCUCAUUAGCCCACAGAGGGAAUUGUUUCUAAUUUUUCCUUACUGAAUGUGCUUCAAGAUCAUGGUAUGCCUCAAAAUUGCUCUAAGCUGAAAGUACCAGCAAUAGCCAUUAUGCUUUUGUGCCAUUAAUACAGUCACCUUUUUCUUUUUUUUCCAUUUAUGUCCCCCGGAGUAUAUUUCUGUAAUUGUCAGUUACCGGUUCAGAUGGGGCCUCCUGCACUGCAUGUCUCCCAGAGCUAUUCGUGUCCCUGUCCUGGCUGAAUGCCUCUCUGGCUUUAGCCACAGCUCUGGGAUCACACGUACAGCUCAUAUUGUGAUUCAUAUCACAGUCGGCACCCGAUUCAAACCAUAAGCAUUUUUAAAAGUAAUUGGAAGGUCAUUGCCCAGGUUAAGGAAAUAAUUCAGCCUCUUUAUAUCUUGCAAAGUUGGUAUUCUGUGAGCGUGCACCGCGGGGGAUUGUGGGGGGGGCUUUCUUUUUUGCUUGGUUUACCCUUUGUGCUUAUUUGUUUCCACCUGCUUAUGGGGUUUCUGGUCCCAUACCCCUCUUUCUCCUGGCUGAACCUUCUCUCCAGCGCUCAGCCAGGAGAUGAGGAUCUCACCAGGCCAUACAUCUUCAUACUUUUCUUUUUCCUUGGGCUCCCUUAGUCAAAUCUAUUUUAUCAGCAAAGCAAGUCCACACCCUGCUGCCCAUGUCCACACAUCUUUGAUUCAGCAGCUUCUUAGAGACCUUCAUGACAUAUAUUGCUUCUUCUUACCCGGUUGCUUUAAGCCAUCCUUCCUCUCACUUUCCAUUUGUGAAAUAUUUAUUUUCACAGCUGUUUGAUGGUCUGUCACACUCGCUACCUCUCAUUUGUCACUGAAGUUGUUGGCAGUGCUUGCUGGCAGUUGCCUCUUACUGCCUUCUACUGUGUGGAAACUGUAGGGCAGCUACAGCAACAGAGUGCUCGCUCUGGGGUCUGAAAAGCUCCCAGUGAGAUGCUGGGAGGGACAGUGUAUCCCUCCCUCUUCCCCUUCUUUCUCCCAGUUUCUCAGUUGGCACGGCAUCAAAUCAGGGACCUAAUCACACCGGUGCAAUUGUUUUGGGAAACCGGUAGUUUAUGUGCUACUGGAAAUCAGGGCAACUACAGCCCUGUAAAGAAAGAUCUCUAAGUGACGCUUCUCCCGUGUUCUCUACUGAUGGAUGAAAUAUCAACCUUUUGAGGACAGACUCUUUAAAAUAACUCCGAAAGAUGACCGUUUCUGUUCUCCCUUAAUGAUUUCAUGUCUUAGACUUCAGCUCAAUAAACUCUGAGUUCUUUUCUCCUUGAGUAUCACUUAGUGUUAGUAACUGUUUUGUAACACAGCUACUGGAUUCUGUGGCAACUCUGCAGACACUUAAAACUUUGAAUUCAAUUAGUUCCAGCCACUAAUGUUAAAAAAAAAAAAAAAAUCUCAUCUAAUGUGUCUUGUUUCUUGUUUCAGGCAAAGAGCAGAGGUAAUAACUCUUACAUUUUAGUUAAUAAGGGUUCUAGUAUGACAAAGGUUGUGCAUUAAUAUUGUGAUUACUGUAUUCAAACACAACAAAGACCUGAGGAAGCGCAACUUCCCAGAUCUUAAAAUUUUUAUAUUAUAGUUCAGUCAGAUACAUGUAUUAUUUAGAAAUCUAUCUAGAUAUCAUCCCCUCAAAGAUUCAUUCAAGUGACUGAGGAGACGGUAUAGUUCAGUAAACGCACCAUGGUAAUCAAAACCAUCUAAGUCUCCUUUAAGUCAGAAUUCACAUUUAAAAGUACCUCUAGGAGGGAUUGUUGCUUUUGCUUCUUGUUUAAUUUAAUCUACUUGAAACAGCCUAGAAAAAAUUACUGAAUUCUUAAAGAAUUUAAUAUGCUUUUUUAUCACCAUAAUAUAAUUGGGAACUAUUCAAUACUUUAUAAAAAUCGCUGAGAACUUUAUUAAUAUCUCUAUGAGUAAAUUGGCUCCCUGCUUGAUUUUUAAUUUCUGGUGUUAGGCAGAAUAUUUGAUUUCCCUUUACUAAAUGUGCUAACAUACUGUUGGCUCUAUUCCCCCUUUUCAUAUAUCUGAUAUUUGGCUAGUGGAAGUGAUAUAUGAGCACUUUGUGAUAAUAGUUGUUCGUAAGCUGAUUUAACAGUGUUUAAUUCAACUUCAUUAGCCUUAGAGGGGUUGUUUUUUGUGAGAUCUUUUCCCAGGAUUUAAUUUAAGCUUCAAUUUUGUCUGCUGCUUGAUCAUACCUUUCUUUUGCCUGAUCAUGGCGAAUGAAAUUAUCAUCCCUCAUCGCAAACGCCUUAGAGGUUUGGCGGAGAGCUCUGUACGACUCCAAGGGGCCCUGAUUGGAUUCACAGCAUUGCAGCCAUUUCUCUUUCUCAUGCCCUGAUCACAGCAACUUGUUUCCUGUUACAAAAGUGAACUCAAUCUCCUUUUGUUUUGACCUGGAGGGGUAAUAUGGAGGGACGUGUUGAAAUCGGUGUAUUCCCACUUGUGUUGAGUCUAGAAGACUAACAAGGAAAAAAUCAAUUCAGGAAGAACAUGUGUACCCUCUAUCUUCAAAUACCUAUCAGCUGUAAAUCACCUUGCACCUGAUUGACCAAACAGCCUAGGUUUUCACCCAAGAGUCUCUCUAAUUGUGGCAACAGUUGCGUUAAAUUCCCCACCUUGGAGAACAGUUGAGCUCGGGGAGCUGGGAGCUGCCCAGCUCCUUUUGGAAAUAGGAUGAUUACUCAAGUCCAGAGAUUUCUUAAUUUCACCCAGUACAAUUGCAUAGUUAAGUGUCAUUGUUUAGAUUAUGAAACUGUUUUUCAGGAUUUUGGUCUUUACUGUUAAAAAUUUGCUGCUAGGCAGAAAGUGAAUUUAGCUAUUUUUUAACUGAGACAAGCCUCAAAAUAGAGGAGAAUAAUUGUCUCCCUUUAGAUGGUACUGAAAAUGCAAGCUACUUAACAGAAGACAAAUGUCAUGUUAUUAGCCGCUAAUACAAUCAUAUUACUUUGGUCUUUUGACAAAGUAAAGCCUCAUUGAUAUUAAAUACUAAAUGUUACCACUUUCACAGUAGCAACUUUUCAGAAGGAGUUUUGAUUUUUUCCACUGAGUUCUAAGAGACUGGUCCAUCAAUAAUGUAUGGCACUGCUUCACAAGUCACAUAUGCUUAAUAAUUAGGAAACAUUUGUAAUGACUUGAAAAGUGUAAGGAAAGCAUGAGAGUAUGUGCAAGUCCAAAACUGCAGACGUCUGAGGCUAAUAAUUACCUGGGCUUCAAAAGCUUUUUCAAAUUCUAACAACAGAUGCUACUUAAAAUUAACAACAGACAUUCCACAGAAGAGAAUAAUGAAAGAAAUCUAAUCUUACCAUUUGGGAUAAAGGAUAUCUAAAUAGAUAUAAGGAAGGGGAAAAAAAAAAAAAAGGCUUUAAAUAUAGCUUCUGGCAAUCUUGGCAAGGUUUUCUGAAGGAGGCAGCAAGAGUUAGGUUUCCACGUACUGCUCGAGUCUAACAGGGGCUAGCUGUUAACUCCCUUAAUCCCCCAUGCAAAUCCUAGCUCUUAUAUAUGUACACUAUAAAGUGCACUCCAUAACUGAGAGCGUCACAGUAUAUGAAGAAUUUCACCUGCACAGGAGAGUUAAAAAUCUUUGAGUUCUGCAUUUCAGUGAUGAAACUGGGAGUCACAUUUCAAUUAUCCUCUGUCGUGAUUCAACAGACCCCUCAUCACCACACCAAACACCGUUUGAAUUAUUUGCCUCCCUUCCAGCGAGCUGUCAGCAGGGGGGCCCUGGGUCAGAGCAGGACCUUGCUGUGGUGCCCAGUGUGGAGAGGACGGAGUUGCAGUGGAAUAACAUUGUCCAUCCAUUUGGGUUUCAGUUUUGUUUCAGCACAGCUGUAAAACACUGUGUGGAAUUAAGCAAUAGAAAUAUUGAUUUUUUUUUUUCCUCCCCUUGACAUAAGAGCCAGUUAGGUAACAUAGAUCAAAAAAAAAAAAAAUUAAAUUCUGAACUCAACAUACGCCUGACACUGGAAACAACUUUUGAGUGACAGGAUAAUUUGGGGAAAGGCUGAGAGGAGGGAAAAAAUAAAACUGUGACAUCAGCCAUUGCCUCCAAAUCCCCUUUCCCUCUCUGUAUUUCAAAAAAUCCAGUAUAAGAUACUCCAAGGAAAUAUUUUUCUCUGUUCUUACAUGGUCCUCAUUACUAAGUAUGAGAAAACAUUUUAACAAAUACAUUCUCACCACUCACCGGAGAGUCAGGACAGUACUGAACAGCAUUUCUGGAGAUGAGGGCUUGAGGCAUGGAAAGACUAAAUGACUCAUCCUUGAUCAGACAAGUCUGUGAUAGCAAAGAAAAUUGAAACUCCUCUCAAGCUCUAGUCAGUGAGCCAAAAAUAUGCUAUGUAAAGCAAUGAACCUUUUUUCUGUUUUCUUGCAGGGUGGGGUGGUGGUGGUGUCAGUCUUGUUGUUUAUUCUGAUUCUUGGCAUGGAAUCCAAAGCAGCACAAUCAAGCUUAUGUGCUUGCAAUAAAAUUAAUGCAAUAAAAAUGAAAUUAAAACAUAUUAAAAAAUUGCAAUUAGAAAACUGCAAUAAAAUUAAUGUUGAGUAGAAUGCAAAGCCUGUGCCCCAGCUGUUGAGCCGGGGGAUCAUGUCUGCGCUCGGAGUUGGUGGAGAGAUCUUUGUAAAUCUGGGUGGGAGUGAGGUGCCUUUGAGGGGGUGACACAACGGUUUAUAUAAGUUUGGCUUCUGGGAUUGACUUUUGUUUGAGUGCAGCAGCAUUAGGAGACGCUCCCACCCAAGGUCUGAGUCCUGGCUACGUUUUCUAAUCUGUAUUGUGCUACGUGGAGCCCAGGGCACUGGAGGAAUGUACUUAGUCUGGAACUAAGCUUUCAGUUGAGCUGGAUGUUUGUAGAUGGAUGUAAGGCAAGUUAAGGAAUGUUUCUGGAUGGUUUUGGUCUUUGGGAGCCGACUGUACCAUUCGGUGGUUGUGUUGGGUUUUUUUGAUUGUGUGGUUUGAUAUGUUUUCUUGUUGGUUUUCUUUUUUUUUUUCUUAAACCCUGCCUUUUGGGACAGCACAGCUGGGCUCUGGAUGUGGCAUUAGUGAUGUGGUACCACCAUGUUCUCCUAGGCAGCAGGAUGAUGAUCUAACACAGUCAGGUCACCGUGGCUGAGGUCAGAGGUAGUUUGUAUCUAGCUUCAGGCUGGCUCCAGCCUCCAGGUUUUCUGUACUCUUUUGAAGUCUAAUUCCUAAGACCUCAUGGGUGUUGUAUUUAACACUUUCCCUGCUAAUGGAGUGAUAUUGGAGAGGCAGUUAACCUCUAUUCUCUAAGCCUGUGUCACACUGUACUGUGCCUUCUGGUUGGCUGUUAUAGGUCUUAAAGGUGUUGCGAGACAUAAGCACAGGGAAUGGAUGUGCUGUGGAUGUGCUCUUCCACCAGCCAGUUGCAUCGUGGACAUACAGGACUGCAAGAAACUGAACUUAAUGAUUAUUGUUGGCCCUUUCAUUCCCUUUCCUGUGCGAGGUUGCCUUUGCAGACAUAGCAUAGUAUCUGACUCAGUUCUGUGUAAUAAACUUUGGGAGUAGGGAGACGUCUCAAUAACUCCUUAGAACUGAUUCUUACUCAUAGCUAGAACAGUAGCAUGAAAACUCAAACAAAUCUUUGCCAACACGUGGAAGUUUUUACAAAAAUAAAGCAAUGUGUGAAUGAAGAGCUUAGCUGCCACCCAGCAGCUGCAUCAGCUGCUUUGCAGACCCAGUCCACCCCAAAACUGCCUGUUUAUGACUUAGCUUAACCCAUGGUUUCAUAAACAUAGCAUGCUUUGCUGGUAUGUGCUCCUAAUACAGAUAUAAUCUAAGUAAUGAAUAUGAAAUUUAUAGAUAGCAUUGUGACCUGAUAAAGGAGAGAAGACAAACUGUUCCAUGCCCAGUGAAGCUGGCAUGUGUAAUGCAAAGCAUCACUAAUUUCACACUGCAUUCCUGUUGUAGCGUUUCAACGUGCUUUCUCACAGAUGUAAAAUGAUUUCUCAAACAAUAUAGUGACAGGAUGCUUCCAGUGCAUUGCCCUGGAUUGUAAAAGUUGAGCCACAUUGACAGUAUUUCCCUGUUUUCUGUAUCACUGUUCAAGAGUUUCUUUUUUAUUGUUUUUUCUUGCCAAGAAGGGAAAUGAGACCCUGGUUGCUUCAGGCUGUAAAUUAUAAAUGAGUAGCAUGAUCAUCUGUAGCUUCGAAGCAAAGGUCAAAGGAAUUUUUUUGUAUUUUUCUGUAUUCCUUAACUGGAUCUUCUUUGAUGUUUACUCCGCACACACAUCAUGAUCAUUAUAUCCUGCACUCUUGCAUCAUUAAUGCAACUACAAACAAGAUGAUUCAAGUUAUGAACAACCAGCGCCUCAGUCUAAUGCAGACAGAUAUAAAGGAGGAAAACGAGCUAAAUAAAAAUACUUAUUGAAGGGAUUGUUCCCCGGUGUAAUUGUUCUUAAAGAGAGUAUGACUAAAUGAGAGGAUACUGCUUCUUUCUGGAGUCAUUUUCCAACCCAGCAAAUCUUUGUUCACUGAUUUGUAAAAUAAGAGAAUAUUUGGGUGUAAAAAUAAGUAACUUAAAAACCUUUCAGCAAUAUUUUUAGCAAUUUUUUCAUGAAACUGAGCUAGUAACUGUUUGCUUUAAAUUUUAUGUGGCACUUUUAAAAAAACUAGUUCUUUGCAUAGACUGGAAAGCCCUGGGAAAGUCUCAGUGUUAUCAAACAAUGAGGACAUGAGGCAUAAAAUAGAACAAUGCAUUAUGUACUUUAAAAGUUAUUUUCUUAUAGAAGUGGGUUUCCUGGGACAUGCACGCCUCCCAGAAAAACCCACAGCUGAUUUGGCACUGAUCUACUCUUCUUUUUGGCAAGAUUGCUAUGGGUUUCUUGCAUGGUUUUGCUGUUGGAUAGAGCGAUGUUAGCUGCAGAGGUGCUCCAGGAGCACCGAGCAGCCUUGGAAGGCUGAGGGUACAUGCCGCAAGCCGGCCGUCGCUGGGAUAACCCUGUCGGUUAGUGCUGUGUUAUUGCACGACAAGGGCUCGGUUUGGCUACGUUUACAUGUAAAGGGAAGUGACCAGUAGAGCAUUGUUCUCAAAGGUUUAUAGUGGAACGUUUGCAAAAUGCGACCCUUUUCUCCCCAGGCACGCUGAAUUUUAACACACUUUGCAAAAUGGGUUUUAUCUGCAAUGAAAAGGAUGUAACUGUAGGGUCCUGUUACUAACAAGUUUAAGGUGUUUUUAAACACAAGCACAUCAUAUAAGGCUUUCCAGAGCCUUCCACAUAUUGCAUUUUGCAAAGAUUAUGGUUUGGAAUUCAAAAUCAAUUUAGAUCAUGGUGCCUGUUUUUGAAGCAGGAAUAGUCAAAAUGGUGACUACAUCUCAAAAUACUCAUUUGGCAUGCAGAGUAACAACACUUUAAUAAGAAUUUUUACUGCAGUAUCUUAAUGUGCAGUUUUAUUGCCUAUUAUUUUUAGUGAGCUUUUAUAAAGCCUUAUGUUUGGGGUUUAACACCAUCACUAUUUCCCAUCAUAACAGGUUGAGAUUUGGCAUAGCAGCGGCAACCUUCAUUUCAAAAUUUUCACAGAAAAUUGUAAACAGCAAAUUGCUAAUUUGUAAAGAUUUUGUUAAUUUCCACACUUUGAAGCCUGUCAACUUAAAUGUCAAAUAAUGUGACAUCCAUAUGGACCAUUAGCUCAAUGGGAGUGUAGGACCGGAGCUGCUUCAAAGUGCACAUCCUGUAGUGACACCGCUGAAGUUCUAGAACAGCCAAAAAGAAAGAAAAAAAAAGGAAAAAAAGGAAAAAAAAAAAAGAAAAAGCAAAUUGUCAAAGUUAUGGUAGGAAAGGGCAAGAUAGCUAAAACUGUCUUUAAAAAAACCUCCCUCGUUCUGUCAUUUUGGAAAAGUUCUGAAA